CAUAGGUUAAUGAGGCGAACCGGGGGAACUGAAACAUCUAAGUACCCCGAGGAAAAGAAAUCGACCGAGAUUCCCCCAGUAGCGGCGAGCGAACGGGGAGCAGCCCAGAGCCUGAAUCAGUGUGUGUGUUAGUGGAAGCGUCUGGAAAGGCGCGCGAUACAGGGUGACAGCCCCGUACACAAAAAUGCACAUGCUGUGAGCUCGAUGAGUAGGGCGGGACACGUGGUAUCCUGUCUGAAUAUGGGGGGACCAUCCUCCAAGGCUAAAUACUCCUGACUGACCGAUAGUGAACCAGUACCGUGAGGGAAAGGCGAAAAGAACCCCGGCGAGGGGAGUGAAAAAGAACCUGAAACCGUGUACGUACAAGCAGUGGGAGCACGCUUAGGCGUGUGACUGCGUACCUUUUGUAUAAUGGGUCAGCGACUUAUAUUCUGUAGCAAGGUUAACCGAAUAGGGGAGCCGAAGGGAAACCGAGUCUUAACUGGGCGUUAAGUUGCAGGGUAUAGACCCGAAACCCGGUGAUCUAGCCAUGGGCAGGUUGAAGGUUGGGUAACACUAACUGGAGGACCGAACCGACUAAUGUUGAAAAAUUAGCGGAUGACUUGUGGCUGGGGGUGAAAGGCCAAUCAAACCGGGAGAUAGCUGGUUCUCCCCGAAAGCUAUUUAGGUAGCGCCUCGUGAAUUCAUCUCCGGGGGUAGAGCACUGUUUCGGCAAGGGGGUCAUCCCGACUUACCAACCCGAUGCAAACUGCGAAUACCGGAGAAUGUUAUCACGGGAGACACACGGCGGGUGCUAACGUCCGUCGUGAAGAGGGAAACAACCCAGACCGCCAGCUAAGGUCCCAAAGUCAUGGUUAAGUGGGAAACGAUGUGGGAAGGCCCAGACAGCCAGGAUGUUGGCUUAGAAGCAGCCAUCAUUUAAAGAAAGCGUAAUAGCUCACUGGUCGAGUCGGCCUGCGCGGAAGAUGUAACGGGGCUAAACCAUGCACCGAAGCUGCGGCAGCGACGCUUAUGCGUUGUUGGGUAGGGGAGCGUUCUGUAAGCCUGCGAAGGUGUGCUGUGAGGCAUGCUGGAGGUAUCAGAAGUGCGAAUGCUGACAUAAGUAACGAUAAAGCGGGUGAAAAGCCCGCUCGCCGGAAGACCAAGGGUUCCUGUCCAACGUUAAUCGGGGCAGGGUGAGUCGACCCCUAAGGCGAGGCCGAAAGGCGUAGUCGAUGGGAAACAGGUUAAUAUUCCUGUACUUGGUGUUACUGCGAAGGGGGGACGGAGAAGGCUAUGUUGGCCGGGCGACGGUUGUCCCGGUUUAAGCGUGUAGGCUGGUUUUCCAGGCAAAUCCGGAAAAUCAAGGCUGAGGCGUGAUGACGAGGCACUACGGUGCUGAAGCAACAAAUGCCCUGCUUCCAGG
rnacentral:rRNA from 1 species